AGUGAACGCUGGCGGUAGGCCUAACACAUGCAAGUCGAACGGCAGCACAGUAAGAGCUUGCUCUUACGGGUGGCGAGUGGCGGACGGGUGAGGAAUACAUCGGAAUCUACUUUUUCGUGGGGGCUAACGUAGGGAAACUUACGCUAAUACCGCAUACGACCUACGGGUGAAAGCAGGGGAUCUUCGGACCUUGCGCGAUUGAAUGAGCCGAUGUCGGAUUAGCUAGUUGGCGGGGUAAAGGCCCACCAAGGCGACGAUCCGUAGCUGGUCUGAGAGGAUGAUCAGCCACACUGGAACUGAGACACGGUCCAGACUCCUACGGGAGGCAGCAGUGGGGAAUAUUGGACAAUGGGCGCAAGCCUGAUCCAGCCAUACCGCGUGGGUGAAGAAGGCCUUCGGAUUGUAAAGCCCUUUUGUUGGGAAAGAAAAGCAGCAGGUUAAUACCCCGCUGUUCUGACGGUACCCAAAGAAUAAGCACCGGCUAACUUCGUG
rnacentral:rRNA from 1 species